rnacentral:rRNA from 1 species
GAUGAACGCUAGCGGCAGGCUUAAUACAUGCAAGUCGAGGGGCAGCAUGAAUGUAGCAAUACAAUUGAUGGCGACCGGCAAACGGGUGCGGAACAGGUACACAACCUUCCAACAAGUGGGGGAUAGCCCAGAGAAACUUGGAUUAAUACCCCGUAACAUAGCGAUGGGGCAUCACAUUGCUAUUAUAGAUUUUUCGCUUGUUGAUGGGUGUGCGGCUGCUUAGUGGGUAGUUGGUGGGGUAACGGGCCACCAAUGCUACGAUCAGUAGCUGAUGUGAGAGAAUGAGAAGCAAGACGGGCACGGGGACACGGGCACGACAGCAACGGGAGGCAGCAGUAAGGAAUAUUGGACAACGGACGAAAGUCUGAUCCAGACAUGCCGCGUGAAGGAUUAAGGUCCUCUGGAUUGUAAACUUCUUUUAUAAGGGACGAAAAAAGGCUUUUCUAAGUCGUCUGACGGUACCUUAUGAAUAAGCACCGGCUAACUCCGUGCCAGCCGCCGCAGUAAUAC